rnacentral:rRNA from 1 species
UACGUAGGGUGCAAGCGUUGUCCGGAAUUACUGGGCGUAAAGCGUGCGCAGGCGGUUAUGCAAGACAUAUGUGAAAUCCCCGGGCUCAACCUGGGAACUGCAUUUGUGACUGCAUGGCUAGAGUACGGUAGAGGGGGAUGGAAUUCCGCGUGUAGCAGUGAAAUGCGUAGAUAUGCGGAGGAACACCGAUGGCGAAGGCAAUCCCCUGGACCUGUACUGACGCUCAUGCACGAAAGCGUGGGGAGCAAACAGG